rnacentral:misc_RNA from 1 species
UCAUCGGCUCCACACUAUCAACGAAUCACUGAAUUCUCUCAACUUUGAAGAUUUCAGAGGUUAUGGCUGAUGACGAUUUCCUUCAGCUCCUCAAGAGAAUUGGGGCAUUUCUUACUCUCAAGAUUUCUAAUCUCUCACAAACACUGGAUUCAAGAUGUGCAGGAGCUAUAGCAGGUCUUGCAUUUGCAAUAGUAUUUAUCUGGAAAAUAAUGAGAUCACCUAGUGGACCACAGAGGA